rnacentral:rRNA from 1 species
GUGUCAGCCGCCGCGGUAAUACGGAGGGGGCUAGCGUUGUUCGGAAUUACUGGGCGUAAAGCGCGCGUAGGCGGCUUUGUAAGUCAGAGGUGAAAGCCUGGAGCUCAACUCCAGAACUGCCUUUGAGACUGCAUCGCUUGAAUCAUGGAGAGGUUAGUGGAAUUCCGAGUGUAGAGGUGAAAUUCGUAGAUAUUCGGAAGAACACCAGUGGCGAAGGCGACUAACUGGACAUGUAUUGACGCUGAGGUGCGAAAGCGUGGGGAGCAAACAGGAUUAGAAACCCCAGUAGUCC